CGAGCUUCAAGCUGGAGCCAAUGGAGACUGAGCGAAGCCCUGGCCCCAGGCUGCAGGAGCUGCUAGACCCCAGCCCCAAAAGGGACUCCCAGGCUGUAAAGGAGAGGGCAUUAUCUGCUCCCUGGCUCUCUCUCUUUCCUCCUGAAGGGAAUGUGGAAGAUAAGGAUAUGACUGGGACCCAGUUGCCCGAGAGCCUCGAGGACAUGGCAAUGUAUAUCUCUCAGGAGUGGGACCAUCAGGACCAUAGUAAGAGAGCUCCCUCAAGGGAUAUGGUGCAAGAUAGUUAUGAGAACGUGGGGACACUAGAGUCCUGCAUUCCCAGUCAGGAGGUCUCGAGCACCCAAGUGGAACAAGGAGGGAAGCCAUGGGAUCCAAGUGUCCAGACUUGCAAGGAAGGCA
rnacentral:lncRNA from 1 species